rnacentral:sRNA from 1 species
UAUCCUGCCCACGCGGGAAGGAUGAGAAGCUUCGACCAAGGUUCGAUUCGAGCGUAGCGAGAAAGCGUUGCCGCAGGCAACGACCCGAAGGGCGAAGCGCGCAGCGCUGAGUAAUCCUUCCCCCACCACCA